GAACCUGCUGGUGGAUCAUU
rnacentral:rRNA from 1 species